rnacentral:rRNA from 1 species
AGAGUUUGAUCCUGGCUCAGGACGAACGCUGGCGGCGUGCUUAACACAUGCAAGUCGAACGCUGAAGCCUAGCUUGCUGGGUGGAUGAGUGGCGAACGGGUGAGUAACACGUGAGUAACCUGCCCCCUUCUUUGGGAUAACGCCCGGAAACGGGUGCUAAUACUGGAUAUUCACUGGUCUUCGCAUGGGGGUUGGUGGAAAGGUUUUUUCUGGUGGGGGAUGGGCUCGCGGCCUAUCAGCUUGUUGGUGGGGUGAUGGCCUACCAAGGCUUUGACGGGUAGCCGGCCUGAGAGGGUGACCGGUCACAUUGGGACUGAGAUACGGCCCAGACUCCUACGGGAGGCAGCAGUGGGGAAUAUUGCACAAUGGGCGAAAGCCUGAUGCAGCGACGCCGCGUGAGGGAUGGAGGCCUUCGGGUUGUAAACCUCUUUCGCUCAUGGUCAAGCCGCAACUGUGGGUUGUGGUGAGGGUAGUGGGUAAAGAAGCGCCGGCUAACUACGUGCCAGCAGCCGCGGUAAUACGUAGGGCGCGAGCGUUGUCCGGAAUUAUUGGGCGUAAAGGGCUUGUAGGCGGUUGGUCGCGUCUGCCGUGAAAUCCUCUGGCUUAACUGGGGGCGUGCGGUGGGUACGGGCUGACUUGAGUGCGGUAGGGGAGACUGGAACUCCUGGUGUAGCGGUGGAAUGCGCAGAUAUCAGGAAGAACACCGGUGGCGAAGGCGGGUCUCUGGGCCGUUACUGACGCUGAGGAGCGAAAGCGUGGGGAGCGAACAGGAUUAGAUACCCUGGUAGUCCACGCUGUAAACGUUGGGCACUAGGUGUGGGGGGUCUUUCCGGGUCUUCCGCGCCGUAGCUAACGCAUUAAGUGCCCCGCCUGGGGAGUACGGCCGCAAGG